rnacentral:rRNA from 1 species
CUACCUGCAGUCGAGCGGUAACAGAUCCAGCUUGCUGGAUGCUGACGAGCGGCGGACGGGUGAGUAAUGCAUAGGAAUCUGCCCGGUAGUGGGGGAUAACCUGGGGAAACCCAGGCUAAUACCGCAUACGUCCUACGGGAGAAAGGGGGCUUCGGCUCCCGCUAUCGGAUGAGCCUAUGUCGGAUUAGCUAGUUGGUGAGGUAACGGCUCACCAAGGCCACGAUCCGUAGCUGGUCUGAGAGGAUGAUCAGCCACAUCGGGACUGAGACACGGCCCGAACUCCUACGGGAGGCAGCAGUGGGGAAUAUUGGACAAUGGGGGGAACCCUGAUCCAGCCAUGCCGCGUGUGUGAAGAAGGCCCUCGGGUUGUAAAGCACUUUCAGCGAGGAAGAACGCCUAGCGGUUAAUACCCGCUAGGAAAGACAUCACUCGCAGAAGAAGCACCGGCUAACUCCGUGCCAGCAGCCGCGGUAAUACGGAAGGUGCAAGCGUUAAUCGGAAUUACUGGGCGUAAAGCGCGCGUAGGUGGCUUGAUAAGCCGGUUGUGAAAGCCCCGGGCUCAACCUGGGAACGGCAUCCGGAACUGUCAAGCUAGAGUGCAGGAGAGGAAGGUAGAAUUCCCGGUGUAGCGGUGAAAUGCGUAGAGAUCGGGAGGAAUACCAGUGGCGAAGGCGGCCUUCUGGACUGACACUGACACUGAGGUGCGAAAGCGUGGGUAGCAAACAGGAUUAGAUACCCUGGUAGUCCACGCCGUAAACGAUGUCGACCAGCCGUUGGGUGCCUAGCGCACUUUGUGGCGAAGUUAACGCGAUAAGUCGACCGCCUGGGGAGUACGGCCGCAAGGUUAAAACUCAAAUGAAUUGACGGGGGCCCGCACAAGCGGUGGAGCAUGUGGUUUAAUUCGAUGCAACGCGAAGAACCUUACCUACUCUUGACAUCCUGCGAAUUCGGUAGAGAUACCUUAGUGCCUUCGGGAACGCAAAG